GGGGUGUUGGAAUGACUUUUAUUUGCUAAAGGGGAGGAAAGCAAACAUUGGUCCAAAAAGUUUUUCUGAAGUCAGGGCGCCUGGGUGG